GCAGGCGCGAAACCUUUACACUGCACGACAGUGCGAUAGGGGGAUCCCAAGUGCACAGGCAUAGCGCCUGUGCUUUUCGGUACCCUAAGGCGGUACCAGAAUAAGGGCUGGGCAAGACCGGUGCCAGCCGCCGCGGUAAUACCGGCAGCCCAAGUGAUGGCCGAUCUUAUUGGGCCUAAAGCGUCCGUAGCUGGCCGUACAAGUCCAUCGGGAAAUCCACCUGCUCAACAGGUGGGCGCCCGGUAGAAACUGUGCGGCUUGGGACCGGAAGGCGCGACGGGUACGUCCGGGGUAGGAGUGAAAUCCCGUAAUCCUGGACGGACCGCCGAUGGCGAAAGCACGUCGCGAGAACGGAUCCGACAGUGAGGGACGAAAGCCAGGGUCUCGAACCGGAUUAGAUACCCGGGUAGUCCUGGCCGUAAACAAUGUCUGCUAGGUGUGGCUCCCACUACGAGUGGGUGCUGUGCCGUAGGGAAGCCGCUAAGCAGACCGCCUGGGAAGUACGUCCGCAAGGGUGAAACUUAAAGGAAUUGGCGGGGGAGCACUACAACCGGAGGAGCCUGCGGUUUAAUUGGAUUCAACGCCGG
rnacentral:rRNA from 1 species